rnacentral:ribozyme from 14 species
AAAAAAAAGAAAAAAAGAAAAAAAGGCACAGAUUACAAGCGAUAUUGCUCUUUCAUCAUUUCGGCCAUCGUUUUCUUUUU